rnacentral:rRNA from 1 species
GAUGAACGCUAGCUACAGGCUUAGCACACGCAAGUCGAGGGGUAGCAUGUUGGUUGCUUGCAACCGAUGAUGACAACCGGCGCACGGGUGAGUAACGCGUAUCCAACUUGGCUUAUACUUAGGGAUAACCCGUUGAAAGACGGCCUAAUACCUAAUGGUUUAUAAUAGUUGCAUGACUUUUAUAAUAAAGAUUUAUCGGUAUAAGAUAGGGAUGCGUCUGAUUAGUUAGUUGGUGAGGUAACGGCUCACCAAGGCAUCGAUCAGUAGGGGUUCUGAGAGGAAGGUCCCCCACAUUGGAACUGAGACACGGUCCAAACUCCUACGGGAGGCAGCAGUGAGGAAUAUUGGUCAAUGGACGUAAGUCUGAACCAGCCAAGUAGCGUGCAGGAUGACGGCCCUAUGGGUUGUAAACUGCUUUUAUGUGAGAAUAAAGUUAACUACGUGUAGUUAUUUGCAUGUAUCACAUGAAUAAGGACCGGCUAAUUCCGUGCCAGCAGCCGCGGUAAUACGGAAGGUCCAGGCGUUAUCCGGAUUUAUUGGGUUUAAAGGGAGCGUAGGCCGUUUGGUAAGCGUGCUGUGAAAUUUAGAGGCUCAACCUCUACCGUGCAGCGCGAACUGUCAGACUUGAGUGCGUAGUAGGUAGGCGGAAUUCGUGGUGUAGCGGUGAAAUGCUUAGAUAUCACGAAGAACUCCGAUUGCGAAGGCAGCUUACCGUAUCGCAACUGACGCUGAUGCUCGAAGGUGCGGGUAUCGAACAGGAUUAGAUACCCUGGUAGUCCGCACAGUAAACGAUGGAUGCUCGCUGUUGGCUUUUAUAGUCAGUGGCUUAGCGAAAGCGUUAAGCAUCCCACCUGGGGAGUACGCCGGCAACGGUGAAACUCAAAGGAAUUGACGGGGGCCCGCACAAGCGGAGGAACAUGUGGGUUAAUUCGAUGAUACGCGAGGAACCUUACCCGGGCUUGAACUGCAGGAGAACGAUUCAGGGAUGAUGAGGUCCUUCGGGACUCCUGUGGAGGUGCUGCAUGGUUGUCGUCAGCUCGUGCCGUGAGGUGUCGGCUUAAGUGCCAUAACGAGCGCAACCCCUUUUCUUAGUUGCCAUCGGGUGAUGCCGGGCACUCUGAGGAUACUGCCACCGUAAGGUGUGAGGAAGGUGGGGAUGACGUCAAAUCAGCACGGCCCUUACGUCCGGGGCUACACACGUGUUACAAUGGGGCAUACAGAGUGUUGGUUGCAUGUAAAUGUAAUCUAAUCUUUAAAGUGCUUCUCAGUUCGGACUGGGGUCUGCAACCCGACCCCACGAAGCUGGAUUCGCUAGUAAUCGCGCAUCAGCCAUGGCGCGGUGAAUACGUUCCCGGGCCU